UACGUAGGGUGCGAGCGUUGCCCGGAUUUAUUGGGCGUAAAGGGCGUGUAGGCGGCCACGCACGUCCGUUGUGAAAUCGCCCGGCUCAACUGGGCGGGGUCAGCGGAUACGGUGUGGCUAGAGCAAGCUAGGGGGCAAUGGAAUUCCCGGUGUAGUGGUGGAAUGCGUAGAUAUCGGGAGGAACACCAGUGGCGAAGGCGGUUGCCUGGAGCUUUGCUGACGCUGAUGCGCGAAAGCGUGGGGAGCGAUCCGG
rnacentral:rRNA from 1 species